rnacentral:rRNA from 1 species
UAAUACGGAGGGUGCAAGCGUUAAUCGGAAUUACUGGGCGUAAAGCGCACGCAGGCGGUUUGUUAAGUCAGAUGUGAAAUCCCCGGGCUCAACCUGGGAACUGCAUUUGAAACUGGCAAGCUAGAGUCUCGUAGAGGGGGUAGAAUUCCAGGUGUAGCGGUGAAAUGCGUAGAGAUCUGGAGGAAUACCGGUGGCGAAGGCGGCCCCCUCGGACGAAGACUGACGCUCAGGUGCGAAAGCGUGGGGAGCAAACAGGAUUAGAUACCCUGGUAGUCCACGCUGUAAACGAUGUCGAUUUGGAGGUUGUGCCCUUGAGGCGUGGCUUCCGGAGCUAACGCGUUAAAUCGACCGCCUGGGGAGUACGGCCGCAAGGUUA